CUAAGGGAAUCGCUUUAUUACGACAAAUACAAAGAUCUAAUAAAAGGUGUUGAACCAACAAAUAAUUUGUUAUUAAGAGUUAUAUAUUUUGAAAAAAUUGCAACAAUUCAAAGUCAAAAUAAAAAAGAAGCUAUCGAUGAAUUGGAAAAUACCAAGGAUAUAAUAAAAAAGUGUGAAUUAAGAAUAAAUGCUAUUAAAGCAACACUAGAUGAAAUAUCAUACAACGCAUAUGGAAAUGAAGAUAAAACUGCUAAAAGAUUGAAGAGUGAAAAGGAAUUUUUAAAUCAGAAAAUAAAUGUUUUAGUAUGUAUAACAACAGCG